rnacentral:sRNA from 1 species
AAUAACAACAAAAAAAUAAUAAUUGGGAGAAAAAUAAGUAAAGAAGUAACCAAUCUUUCAAAGCAAGCUUUAGAGAUAAUAUAGUCAAACAUUUGACUUUUGAGCCACCUCUCAUCCCUGGCCUUAUAUAAACCUUACGCUCCCACACGUCUUCUCUAAAAUCUCUUAAAGCUUCCUUCACAAUCUCAAAAGCCAUUUUUCAAAUUUCAAACUCAGAGAGAGAGAGAUGUGUCCUUCUGGUAGAAUCGCGAUUCCGAUAACCACCACCGCGAAUCCAAAUUUCCGACCAGCUUUCGAAAUCAUCGACACAGAUCACGACGGUAAAAUCAGCAGCGACGAUCUCCGUGCAUUCUACGCCGGAAUCCCUUCCGGUGAAAACAACGACGAGACGAUGAUCGGAACGAUGAUAUCAGUAGCGGACGCGAACAAAGACGGAUUCGUUGAGUUCGAUGAAUUCGAGAAAGUUCUAGAAACGACGCCGUUUUCUAGAUCUGGUAACGGAGGAGACGAUGGAUUGAUGAAAGAUGUGUUUAAGGUGAUGGAUAAAGACGGAGAUGGGAGACUGAGUUACGGAGAUCUGAAGAGUUAUAUGGAUUCGGCUGGUUUAGCUGUAACCGACGAUGAAAUCAAAUCUAUGAUUCGAUUAGCCGGUGGUGAUUUAAACGACGGCGUUUCGUUCGACGGUCUGCUUAAGAUCUUUGGGUGUUGAAAAAAAAAGUUCGUUUUUUUUGACACCGCACAUUUUCCAACUUUAUUUUGUUUCUCAGUUUUGUUUGUUUGUUUGCAGAAGUGUAUUUGUGUCCACCCAGAUUUUGUUUUAUGUUGUUAUAAAAAUGUGAGAAAACUAAUGUUGGAACACUAUUC